GAUGAACGCUGGCGGCGUGCUUAACACAUGCAAGUCGAACGGACAGACCAGCUUUUUCUUCCGCUUACCGUAGAGUCGGACGGCUAAGUAACAAGUGAAUAGCCUAUCUUUAAGACUCGGCUUACUUCGAAAAACCGGAGAUAAUAUCGAAUAAUAUAUAGGACCGCAGGGUGCAAUAGUUAGUGACGGAUUUGCUGUUACUGAUAGAUGGUUACGCGCCGCAUUAGCUGCUUGGUAAGGUAACGGCUGACUAAGGCGACGAUGGGUAGUCGACGUGAGAGGGUGAUCGGGCACAGUGGAACUGAGACACGGUCCAGACUCCUACGGGAGGCAGCAGUAGGGAAUCGGCAGCAAUGGGCGAAAGCCUGACGGAGCAACGGCGCGUGAGUGAUGAAGGUCUUCGGAUCGGAAUACUCUGUUAUUAGGGAAGAAGAAAUGUGUAAGUGACUAGGCGCGUCUUGACGGUACCUAAACAGAAAGCCACGGCUAACUACGUG
rnacentral:rRNA from 1 species